rnacentral:rRNA from 1 species
AUGAUUGACCUGAAUGAGGAACCAGCUGAAAAUAAUGAUGAUCCAUUGUACUGUACACAACAUGCUGCUGGAAAUGCAGAAUUUGUGGCGGAAUCACCUAAUCCCCCUAUCAUCCAAAGAGUCGAUGGUGCUGCUACAGAAGCAAUGGAGACAAAUGGGCAGUCAAGUCAUGGGGGCCGUGCUCCGGGCAGUACACAAGUACCUGCAACUAUAGCAGCUGGGAGUGAUGCUCAUACCCUUGAUGGCACAGGUGCUGCAGGUGAUACCGAUGGCACUGUUGGUAAUGGUUUGGGUGCUAAAAAUGAUGAUGAAGCUUGGUCACAGCCCAAGGAGCCUUACGUGGGCAUGAGGUUCGACACUUUGGAAGAUGCCAAGGUGCAUUACAAUGGAUAUUCCUUGCAAAUGGGGUUUUCAAUCAAAAUGAAUAGUUCAAGGAAGGAUCUCAAAACCGGGGAGUUGAUAAAACACCAGUUUGUUUGCAACAAGUUUCGGAAGCCUGAUGUUGAUGAUGGAGGGGCAGAAAAGAUUCCCGUGCUAGAUGACAUUGUUGAGCAAGCAAAAGAUGAUAAUGAAGAUGAGACUAUUGUCUUUCUUGAUGAUGAUAGUAAAGGCAAAAAGAGGAGCAAGAAACGAAAAAGAGAUAAAAUUGUGCAAACUGGUUGCAAAGCUAAGAUGAUUGUGAAGGUAAUAGAUGGAAGAUGGGAAGUGAUCUACUUUGUUAGCGAGCACAGCCAUCCGUUGGUUGACAAGCCAUGUUUGACUAAGUAUUUGCGAUCACACCAAGGGAUCCCGCCAGAAGAAAGGGCCUUCCUUACUCAUCUUCAUAACUGCAAUUUAACUACGGGUAUUGAACCACACCCACCUCCCCCCUAUCUUCUAACUUUAAGAACCUGGACAUGCCUACUGGUUGUGUGUUUCUUAGCCCAUCAACAAGUACCUGUUUUUGCUUGA